rnacentral:lncRNA from 1 species
UUAUAAUAGGCUCAGCAGUUCGCCCUGCUUUCAAGGCUAGCUCUGCUAUGGCAAUGGCCAAGGCUCCGGCAAGCAGGCUGCCUAGUGCUCUGUUGAAUCCUCUGUUGAAAGUGGCACCUUCACACAUAACGCCCGAGAUUCUUGAGGUGAGUUUAUCGUUAUAUUGAACUGUGAUUGUGUGUAUAUUAUGCAUAGUAGCUAGUUUUGCUUGCACGUACCAACGGUGUAUUCAAACAUGAUGGCAACGGUGAGGAUGGACCAGAUAAUGCUGGUGCCGAAAACUUGGUAAGGCGCUCUGCAUAGUAUCAGAAGAGAUACGAGAAGAACAGCAAUCCCCACUUUGAGUGAAAAUGUCACUCUGUUGCUAUCUUCUUUGCAAAACUCCCACACUCUCAUAAUGAAGUUUCUGCAGCUGAAUUUCUCAUCACUACUAUUCUUGCUAGCUUCUGAUGCUUUUUUCUCAUUGCUGAUAGGAGGGAUGCUGAUCUCAAUGCUACCUUUCGCGCCAUUCAUUCUCCAACCGGACCUUUGUUGAUGAUGAUGAUCAGGAACAACGGGUGAGUGAAACUUUAUAAGGUGAAAAAUGGGGGAGAUGAGUGUGAUUUAAAGAGGGGGAUUUUGGCUAAGUGGUUGAUGCAACUCGAUGAGGCAAGCAGGAUUAUGAUAUAUGGAAAAAAAAAAUAGAAUAAUACAGCAAUAAUAGAAGAAAAGAUGGAGCUAAACACUUGGAUAAAGAAGAUGCUUAAACCUCAAUAAUGUGGCAUAAAUGGAGAAUUAGAAUCUAUAAAAUAUUGCAGACCUUGCAUGCUUCAUUGUCUAUGCUCUUCAUACUAUCUUUCUUAUGUCACUCGUAACGAAAAGAGAUCCGCAUUGACAACAUAUGUACUGGCCGCUCUAGCCUCUAGUCUACAGAUCAAGAACAAAAAUAGAGUGUUUUUUUUGUGCUUUAUUUUGUAGUUUUGUGAUGCAAAAGUAGUCAUUGGCUGAAUAAUAAAAAUAUACCUUUACCAUUGCAGUGAAUAAUAUCUAGAACCAGGCCACUGAGGCCUGUGAGAAACAGGAUUACGACGUUGCUUAUUGCUCCAAAACCUAAUAAUUCAGUUACAAAAUGCAUGCUAUGCAGCAAGUUGCUGCAAUCAUAGAAAUUUGGAAUAUGUUUCAUUCCUCCAACAACACUCCUUUUGUCAAUAAGCAUUUGAUGUUUGUGUGUUAAUCCUAUCCUCACAAUAAUUCUAUCUUCCCCAACUAUUCGUCCGUGUUAUCCGAAAUUCUUACUGUAUUCCUAGAAAUAAUUGAAUAUGAGCACAUAUUCAUUGAAAAAAACAAAAAACAAAACUGAUAAUGAAGAUUAUGGAGAGUGACUGAGAUAGCAUAUGAUUUUGACUAGAUAUAUAGGUUGUUAUUUUGGUAUAGAUUUGAGCAUUUGGUAUAUAUUUUCGGAUGAUUGAUGCUGCCUUUGAGUUGAACACAUUAAUUCUGUGUUAAUAUUGUGUUUAAAUUAAGGCAUCAGAUACAUAUGAUGAGGUAUAUAUACUCAAAUUUUCUUGUUUUGGGGCUCUGACUAACCACACAACAGCACAACAGAACAUAUUCUGCUGCCUCGGAUUUCCUUUCACAAAAUUACACUUCCCAAAUUCAUUAACCUCUUCUUUUUUUGACUAGGAAUAAAUGAAUUAAGGAGCAUCAAUCAACCAAAGGGACUGUAUGAUGAUCAUAUUCUAUCAAUUUCAACAAAUAUGGCUUUCUUUGCUUCAAAUCUAUACCUAUUUUACAUGUUGAACGCGUAUUAACUGCGGAUUCAUGCAUCAGCUGCAUGAAUUGGAUGAUAUGGGAGGUUGUUGGUUCCAUUGUGUUUUUGAAGGUGCAUGAGGACCAAUUGGAUCUUGUGAGUUUGGUAGCAACCGUGUUACCAUGUCAUGUCUAUUCCUUAUUAUUUACAUGUGUAUAUAGACAGUAUCUAUAAUAUGUAAUUCACUUAGCA